UCUGGCUCCGCCGGCGUCCCAUCGGAGGCCCCGCUCCGAAGGUGUCCCUAGGUGGGAGGAGAUGGAAAAGUCAGGAAGCAUGGCCUGAUGUCAAGUCACUGUCUCACCGCUGACAGUGUUGCAACAACAAUGUCACCGAGAAUGAAGGACAUCCAGCAUGUAAAAGGUUUUAACCAUUCAGGGAGCUGAAGAGAAGGCUCAGCAAUUGUGAGUACCAGCCUCAGCAAUUAAUUUUCACCAUUGCAUCCUGUGACUGUGCAUACUGAACACUAACUGUAUCCUUUCUCCUCGUCUCUGGGACUCGGUCACCUUUCUGCUCUCUGCUUCUGCCACUCUGUCUGAUGAAAGUACUUCCUGUUUGUGAAAUUAGCUGGACACAGUUCACAUCGAUAGCAGACAAUUGAGGAGUUUGCACCACACAUCUGAGAAGACGUCCAGACUGAUAAGAAAAGUCCCAUUGUGAUACUGAAAGGAGACCGCAUCACGAGUCAGAAGAGAGGCUUCUGCAAGCAUCAACACUCACCCCUCUGCCUGGACUCCUAGCCUGGGAUCGGUGGGAAAGUAGAUCUUGUUGCUUAAGUGACUCAGUCAGGACAUUUUGUUAGGGAGUCCUUGGCAGAUUGAGAUAUGUCUAUAGAUCAUAUCGAAUAUCCAUCUCUCUCUCUAUAUAUAUAUAUAUAUAGAGAGAGAGAGAGAGA
rnacentral:lncRNA from 1 species